ensembl:snoRNA SNORA73 Small nucleolar RNA SNORA73 family
CUAACGGGGAUACUCCCUGGGAAGUCACUUUCUUUGGGGCUCUGUCCAAGUGGCCUAAGGGAGCAUAAUCUCUGCUUUGUGAUGUACAGUCCCUUAGCACAAUGCUGGAGAAGAAUCUGGGCUUGCAUAUCUCUACAACUUGUUGGAGUCUUGUGAACAAUGCCUAAGAAGACCAGGAAAAGAAAAAUAU